GACGAACGCUGGCGGCGUGCUUAACACAUGCAAGUCGAACGGAAAGGCCCUGCUUUUGUGGGGUGCUCGAGUGGCGAACGGGUGAGUAACACGUGAGUAACCUGCCCUUGACUUUGGGAUAACUUCAGGAAACUGGGGCUAAUACCGGAUAGGAGCUCCUGCUGCAUGGUGGGGGUUGGAAAGUUUCGGCGGUUGGGGAUGGACUCGCGGCUUAUCAGCUUGUUGGUGGGGUAGUGGCUUACCAAGGCUUUGACGGGUAGCCGGCCUGAGAGGGUGACCGGCCACAUUGGGACUGAGAUACGGCCCAGACUCCUACGGGAGGAAGCAGUGGGGAAUAUUGCACAAUGGGCGGAAGCCUGAGGCAGCAACGCCGCGUGCGGGAGGACGGCCUUCGGGUGGUAAACCGCUUUCGCCUGUGACGAAGCGUGAGUGACGGUAAUGGGUAAAGAAGCACCGGCUAACUACGU
rnacentral:rRNA from 1 species